rnacentral:lncRNA from 1 species
AUAUGUUAUAAUAUACUGUUCUUCUCCACAGCAGAUUAAAUAAUCCAGUAGCCAGAACUUUAAGCUGUGUUUACUUGUUAUUUUUGUGUUUCUGGAUGGAAGUUUAAUGCAGUAGCAUUAUUUCCCACAAUUCCACCGGUAAUAGGUAACUGUAAACAUCCAAGAUGGCGACCAUGGUAGGUCAAAACAUGACCUAUUAUUGACGAUAAUUCUGUUCCCAGGUGAAUAAAAUUAACUUUUAAUG